rnacentral:rRNA from 1 species
UAGGGAAUAUUGCACAAUGGGCGAAAGCCUGAUGCAGCAACGCCGCGUGUGCGAAGAAGGCCUUCGGGUCGUAAAGCACUUUUCUGGGAGAUGAGAAAGGACAGUAUCCCAGGAAUAAGUCUCGGCUAACUACGUGCCAGCAGCCGCGGUAAAACGUAGGAGGCGAGCGUUACCCGGAUUCACUGGGCGUAAAGCGCGUGCAGGCGGUUUGGUAAGUUGGGCGUGAAAGCUCCCGGCUCAACUGGGAGAGGUCGUCCAAAACUACCAGACUAGAGAGCGAUAGAGGAAAAUGGAAUUCCCGGUGUAGUGGUGAAAUGCGUAGAUAUCGGGAGGAACACCAGUGGCGAAGGCGAUUUUCUGGAUCGUUUCUGACGCUCAGACGCGAAAGCUAGGGUAGCAAACGGGAUUAGAGACCCCGGUAGUCCUAGCUGUAAACGAUGUGAACUUGGCGUUGGUGGCUUAAACACCAUCAGUGCCGUAGCUAACGCGAUAAGUUCACCGCCU